CCUUUGCCCCCUCUGUGAUUUCACAUUCUUUUGUUAGUUGUACUCGUUUAAAGUCAUUAAGAAUAACGUUCCAAUUGCAGGAGACGAUUAAUUAAUGUCAGUGAUUGACUGAGCGAUGAUAGUUUUUGCUUGAUGAGAUAUAUAAUAUUGUUGCAGAGAGGAAGCGAAAAGAAGGAACCUCUGCCAUCUUGACACUCCCAGGGAGAACCUGAGCUGGACUUCCCCGCCAUCCUUGGAUUCCGGCAGCCAUCAUCAUCGUCACGGAUUCAACUACAUCCUCGGAAGGAGAUUGUCACUCCCACAGCUGAGGCUCCAAUGACCUGGGUGUGUAUGGGUCAACGCUGAACUUUUCAGCUUCAUCAGUAAUCGUUAAUAUUUAUGAGCAAUGGAAACAGCUCAAGGUCAGAAAAUACGGCAAAGAACAAAAAGGCCUGCUAAGCACUGCCCUAGCAAUAGACGAAAGAAUGAGUAGCCAGAAGAAAGGGUUAAUUUCCCUCUGUCGAGGCACCUACGACCUGAGUAUGUGUGGGUCAACACUCAACACUUCAGCUUCAGUCGUAUCCAGACCUUGAUUUUUUAGUAUAGUCAUACAGUAAAUUUCAUCGUUUUCUGUAACAUCUUUGAGUUGUCCCUAAAGCUUUCAGUUUAUAUUACUAAAGAUUUACAGAAGGUAUAUCUCUUAUAUAUUUGUUCAAUAAAUUUU